rnacentral:lncRNA from 1 species
GGCUCCUCCUGGGUGAGUCCUUCAUCGAGCCCUUGAGCGGCCGGAUGGCACGGGUUGGUGGAUGCAGUGUGCGAGGAGGAAAGAUGGUCCCUCAUGCUGGGGGUUUCCAGGCUCUGCUGGACAGCCAGGCUCUGGGCGCUUGCUUGCGGGUGGCAGAGCUCCUGCAAGGAUUCAGUGAGGAGUGGAGCUCAGCAGCUGCAGAUCCACAAGGUGACCUGGACAGAGUCUCGGCAGCAACAUUGGAGCUGGAGCAGGCCUGGAAAAGCAGCCAACUCUGUAUGUCGCAGAUGCUGAGUCGCCUGGAAGCCGUACAGGAACAGGCCAGGGGUGUGGCGGAGAAUGGCGGUAGAGUGGGGGAAAUCAAGCUUCCUGGCAUUGAGCUCUCCUUGCCAGCUCUCCCCGGGUUGGAGUAUCCUGACCCUGGAGGCUCGGGUUUGCAUGUCCCAGUUCUGGGAGCUCAGUUGGACUGGGUGUCAGGAUGCAUGGUGCCUCUGGCAGGAACCAUGGAGGAUGCAGAUGGUAAAGGGCUAGUUCCCAUACGUUUUGGAGCGCAGACGGUGGACCCAGUGACGGGUGCUGGCUCUGGUUGUGGGGGCCAGUCUGGAUGUUUGGAAGCGGACUGUGGUUCCUGUAACUGUGUCCCAGAUUCCGACGUUAGGAGAGAACCCAGACAGCGUCACAGCCUCAGGUGGAAGCCCUCCAGAAGGAGAGCAAUGUACGGGGCAAUUACUGGCGUGAGCAGACACUGAAGGAAGAGGAGAUGGUGGGAGAUUUUGACAGAGCCGUUAAACACUAUCUCUCCACAUCCGUACACGAGCCUGACUUUGCGAGUUGACUCCACAGAGAUGACACUACGCUCUGUGACCCAUUUAAAAUGCAAGUCUUUUGACCAAGUGUCUGUUUUUAUUUUUGUGAGUGUCAGUGUGAUGGGAAACGUUUCCACCAUCCUUGCAUCCUGAAUGAGAUUCUGUGCAUGUUUGUGUGUGUGCACGAAACAGAUAGACUGGAUGGACACAGACAGGUAGCUCAGGGAGAUCGCCACAGAGAUUCAGGAAUGCGCUCAGUGUGAGGCCCAGAGAAAAGCUCUCCAGAUCUCAGAUUUAUCGCUGCUCCUACCAGCCCAUGUGUUACAUGCUCUCACAGGAGGUCGGUCCUCGCGCUCAUACUCCCACUGAGAGUACAAACGGCAGUGUUGGGAAGGUUACUUUGGAAAUGUAAUAGGUUACAGAUUACAAGUUAC